rnacentral:siRNA from 1 species
UAUGAAACUUUGCCAUGAGGGGAA